GUCGAACGAUUAAGACUCCCUUCGGGGAGUGUAUAAAGUGGCGCACGGGUGAGUAACACGUAAGUAAUCUACCUUCGAGUGGGGAAUAACGUUCGGAAACGAACGCUAAUACCGCAUAAUGCAGCGGCAUCGCAAGAUGACAGUUGUUAAAGGAGCAAUCCGCUUGAAGAGGAGCUUGCGGCAGAUUAGCUAGUUGGUAAGGUAACGGCUUACCAAGGCUACGAUCUGUAUCCGGCCUGAGAGGGCGGUCGGACACACUGACACUGAAUAACGGGUCAGACUCCUACGGGAGGCAGCAGUCGGGAAUUUUGGGCAAUGGGCGAAAGCCUGACCCAGCAACGCCGCGUGAAGGAUGAAGUAUUUCGGUAUGUAAACUUCGAAAGAAUGGGAAGAAUAAAUGACGGUACCAUUUAUAAGCUCCGGCUAACUACGUGCCAGCAGCCGCGGUAAUACGUAGGGAGCAAGCGUUGUUCGGAUUUACUGGGCGUAAAGGGCGCGUAGGCGGCGUGUUAAGUCAGCUGUGAAAUCUCCAAGCUCAACUUGGAACGGCCAGCUGAUACUGAUGUGCUAGAGUGCAGAAGGGGCAAUCGGAAUUCUUGGUGUAGCGGUGAAAUGCGUAGAUAUCAAGAGGAACACCUGAGGUGAAGACGGGUUGCUGGGCUGACACUGACGCUGAGGCGCGAAAGCCAGGGAGCAAACGGGAUUAGAUACCCCGGUAGUCCUGGCCCUAAACGAUGAAUACUUGGUGUCUGGAGUUUCA
rnacentral:rRNA from 1 species